AGUGAUUAAUGCCAAAGCCCUGUUGCCUGUGGAGAGGGUGAUGUUUGACUUUCUUGUACAGCUGCAGUUUGUGUGGUGAAGGUGCUCCCACAAUGUGGUUGGGAUGAGGGUGUCACUGACUGGGCCCAAAGGGCAGUAAAGAGUCAACCACAUUGCUGUGGGUCUGGAGUCACAUGUAGGCCAGACCAGGAUAUUGAGAAUAAUUGAGACUGGAAUCUCAAAAACCAUUUUCUACAGUCAGCUGAGUCAUCAGGAUCUGAAUACCAUUGGCAUUUAACUGUGGAAGGAGAAAGGUUUGUCUGUUCGGUCUG